GCGGAGUGCUGGCCCGUGAAGAACUCGCAUGUUCAGAGAAUGAAGGUUGCGGAGAUGAGGAUGCUUAGGUGGAUGUGUGGGCACACUAGGCUGGAUAAGGUCAAGAAUGAAGUUAUUCGACAGAAGGUAGGGGUGGCUCCGGUGGACGAAAAGAUGCGGGAAGCGAGGCUGAGGUUGUUCAGGCAUGUUCGGAGGAGGGGCCCCGAUGCCCCUGUGAGGAGCUGCGAGCGACUGGAGAUUGUUGGUGGUCGGCGAGGGAGAGGGAGGCCUAAGAAGN
rnacentral:lncRNA from 1 species